CAAUAACAUGUAGCAUGGGAUAAUGGAAUAGGACCCUGUCCUCCUAUUUUCUGUUGGUUUUGGCAGCGCGAGGACUAGGGUAAUGAUUAAUAGGGAUAGUUGGGGGCAUUAAUAUUUAAUUGUCAGAGGUGAAAUUCUUGGAUUUAUGAAAGAUUAACUUCUGCGAAAGCAUCUGCCAAGGAUGUUUUCAUUAAUCAAGAACGAAAGUUAGGGGAUCGAAGACGAUCAGAUACCGUCGUAGUCUUAACCAUAAACGAUGCCGACCAGCGAUUAGGAGACGUUGAAUACAAAACACCACCAUCGGCGCGGUCGUCCUUGGCGUCUCGCGUUCGCGCGCGGCGCGAGGGCGGCUUACCCCGGUGGCACCGGUGAAUGACUCCCCUAGCAGCUUGUGA
rnacentral:rRNA from 1 species